rnacentral:tRNA from 3 species
AGGGGUGUAGCUCAGCUGGUCAGAGCGCCGGUCUCCAAAACCGAAGGUCGCAGGUUCGAAUCCUGCCGCCCCUGCCA